AUACGGAGGGGGCUAGCGUUGUUCGGAAUUACUGGGCGUAAAGCGCGUGUAGGCGGCUUGGAAAGUCGGGUGUGAAAUCCCGGGGCUCAACCCCGGAACUGCACUCGAAACUGCCUCGCUAGAGUCCCGGAGAGGAGAGUGGAAUUCCCGGUGUAGAGGUGAAAUUCGUAGAUAUUGGGAGGAACACCAGUGGCGAAGGCGACUACCUGGACCGGUUCUGACGCUGAGGCGCGAAAGCGUGGGGAGCAAACAGGAUUAGAAACCCCUGUAGUCC
rnacentral:rRNA from 1 species